CAAGACCAACAGAUCAAGAAAAUUCUAAGGUAGUUAGGAUUUUAUGUCAGUCACCACCAGUAGAACUACAGAAGCUACACUCGGUUACCCUAAAAAAGAUGGCCUUCCUAAAAAAUAAAGUGUAGUUCUGAAAAAAGGAUAUGACAAAGACUAACAUGUACCAGAGUGAUGGCAAUAUCAACGAGCAUGCAAGUCAGGUGCUGAAGACAAAUUGAAGGCAAAAAAUCCCUAAAACAAGCAGGAUUUGAAGACAGCUGCAGUGCAGGCCUGACAGAGCAUCGCCAGGAAGGUACCCAACGUUUGAUGUCUAUGGCUCGCAGACAUCAGGCAGUCAUUACAUGCAAAUGUUGAAGGCAUAUAGGAGCCCCAGCACGCCGGCGGGGAACCUGCAGACUAGGGAUGGCCAAUGCACUCUUCAUCAUCUCAGCUGACGAGGCAAUGACCUGGAAGCAAUUUGGUUUCACCUUGUUGGCCCAGGGAAUAGAAUCAGCCGCUUUUGGUUUACUGGUCCUAUUCUUGACCACUUGGCUACCCUGCUGCCCCAUGUGUGGGACGGAAUUGGCAUGUCUGACCUGGGAGGAGCAAAACUCUGUGUAUGCUAAAAACAUACUCUUAGCUUCCUUCUCCUUGCAGAUCAGCACAACUGAGAGAGAGGAAGUUACUCCAGACGAUUUAGAUACACUCUGGACUAGGUUAGAUAAUUCAUGAUUUGAAAAAGCUCUAUUAAAAUG